rnacentral:tRNA from 2 species
GGGCGGGUGGUGAAAUGGCAGACACGCAAGGUUUAGGACCUUGUGCCGCAAGGUGUGAGGGUUCGAGUCCCUCCCCGCCCA